AGUAAGAUCAGCUAAAUUAAGCUUUUGGGCCCAUACCCCAAAAAUGUAGGCUAAACCCUUCUCUUACCA
rnacentral:tRNA from 1 species